rnacentral:rRNA from 1 species
UACGUAGGGUGCAAGCGUUGUCCGGAAUUAUUGGGCGUAAAGAGCUCGUAGGCGGUCUGUCGCGUCUGCUGUGAAAACUCGGGGCUUAACCCCGGGCCUGCAGUGGGUACGGGCAGACUAGAGUGCGGUAGGGGAGACUGGAAUUCCUGGUGUAGCGGUGAAAUGCGCAGAUAUCAGGAGGAACACCGGUGGCGAAGGCGGGUCUCUGGGCCGUAACUGACGCUGGAGGAAGCUGGAAAGCAUGGGG